AGUAGAGACAGGGUUUUGCCAUGUUGGCCAGGCUGGUCUCGAACUCCUGACUUCAGCUGAUCCGCCCGCCUCGGCCUCCCAAAGUGCUGGGAUUAUAGGAGUGAGCCCCUGCACCCGUCUGACAUUAUUCCCAUUUUACAAACGGAGACUUGGGGGCUCAAAGAGGAUAGGAAAUAUGCCCAAAUCCCACAAGAAAUGAGGCAAAAAGGAGAUGCAAGCCCAAGCUUUAGUGUUCACGUCCUCUCUACAGCACCACGUGAAGGAUGACACUUGAUGGCCCAGGGCCUGUUCUUUAACUGUAUCAAACCAUCCCCCCAUUCCCACCCUUUCAAUUAACUACUGGUUUUGGUGGCCAAACUAUAAGGAUUAAGGCUCAUCAGGCGGGGCCAGCCAGCCCUGUAAGGGGAAUUUGAGAAAGUGAAUUGGGCCAGACUUUGUCCAGCACCUGGCUCAGAGCAGAGGUUCAGCUGGACUUCAAUAGCACUGCUGAAUGAAUAGAUAAAUUUGUUUUAAAUUCAAGUGUAAUGAGAAGUUGGAGAUGGAUGUUGGUGAUGGUUGUACAACAAUGUGAAUGUACUUAAUACCACCAAACUGUAAGUUUAAAAAUGGUUAAAAUGGUAAAUUGUUUGUUAAAUAUAUUUUAUCACAAAUUUUGAAAAAGUCAAAUGUGCACGGGGGGACUGGAGUCAUAUAAAGCCAUAUAAAGUAAUUUACUUUAUAUUAUCAACUAUUUUAUUAUUCAUUUGUUCCCUGCCAUUUGAAAGUAGUCAUAUUUUGCACAAAACAAACUGAUAUAUACAAAUCUAACUUAAAAAGAUGGAUAAGACCUUAAAUAAGAUGUAGCAUCGAGAUGACCUGGAUUUAAUGGUGACAAAUGUUGUGGUUGACCACAGUGAGUUCUGGGUCAGAUGGUCUAGGUGUAAUGCCUGGCUUUUUGUCUCUUAGCUGUACGAAUUGGGGCCAGUUAUUUAAUCUCUUUAAACCUCUUUUUUUCUCAUCUGUAAAUGAGGAUUAUAAUACUACCUAACACAUAAGAUUUUUGUGAACUAAUCCAGGUAAGAGACAAACUGUCAUGCUUUGAAAGCACUCAAAAAAUCCCAACUAUGAUUAGUAAGGCUCCAAAAGUGACUAAAAAUGAAGGGCCUUCAGUAUCAGUCUAACUCAAACCAGGCUCCUGCUUGUAAACAGCUAUGAGUGACUUGAUGUGUCAUCUUUCCUCUCUUUUACCUAGGUAUAGAAGACUCUCUAUGCUGCCCUCUUGAAUAAUGCCCCAAGAAUGCAUGCCUUUCCUGAUCAUUCUGUGAAAUAUUGCUGAGUAUAGGAACGAGUGAAUUGUAGAUGGAUAAAUAUCUAAACAAACUUUGGUCAUGCUGCAAGCCUAGUGGAAUGCCUGAUUCUUCUGGGUAUUGGUCAAGGAACACCCACCCCAGAAUGGAAGUCAUCUAGCAGGAAAGCAGUGGUCUGCUAUUCUCUGAGCACCAUUGACCACUUAUGGGAUUGUGGAAGAGACCUAACUCAAAUUUGGACCAAGAAGUGACUUGAAAUCAAGAUCUCUCCCCAGAAGAGACAACAAUGAAUAGGUCUGCGGUUGGCUGAAUCCACCAAAGUGGAACCUGUGGAUACAAAGAACCAGCUGUGUAAGAUCCCCAAGAUGUUAUAAUCGUUUUGAAGAAGUGUCAACUGUGAGCAUCACAAUAGCCUUCACUGGAGCAAACGAUAAAUUUUUUUCUCUGUGCUUGCCAACUGACUUGUCAAUCAGAACAAAUAGGAUGUGUUUGGGCCUCCCCAUCUGCCUUACAUGGAUAGUUUGGGGAUUCUUGUCACAGGGACAAAACAUGCCAUUAAAUAAAGACCACGCUUCCUGGAA